GAGGUGGGCAGGUAAACUUGGGCGCUUCCGUUAGUGUAGGAGCAAUGGAAGAAGGUGGACAGCAGGCGCUGGCAGGAGAUGCUUGGUGUGUGGUAGUAUGUGGUCUGGAUACCCUCCUUAAACAUUGGUCAGUGCAGAUGAGCCCACGUUGCACGAUUGAUGAUGGCUGCGUACUAGGAAGGCACUGAUAGUGGCUGCAUACUAGGAAGAUGGUGCCAUGCUUCAGCCUGGGUGUUAAGGGGACGGAUGUUCCAUUAUGGUGUCUGAAUAAGCUUCAGACAUCAGUUAUCGCUGGUGAAGAUUGUACCUGGCUUGGGUGAUGCUGCACUACUACGAAGACGGAGUACAGCACGGCACACCUUGGAGGGUGGCUGCCUUCAGAACUGUGCAUAGUGGACAUUAUCAGUCAGCUGUGUUGCUGUUGACUGCAUGAGCCAUUUGUUAAGUACAAGACUCUCCCUGAUGACAUUUUAGGUUUUUGUAUAAAAAAAAAAUUUGAGUAAAAAUUUGAGUGGUU